rnacentral:rRNA from 1 species
UACAGAGGGUGCGAGCGUUGUCCGGAAUCACUGGGCGUAAAGGGCGCGUAGGUGGUGGCUUAAGCGUGCGGUGAAAGCUCGGGGCUCAACCCCGAGUCGGCCGUGCGAACUGGGCUCACUGGAGCAUAGUAGAGGCAGGUGGAAUUCCGGGUGUAGCGGUGGAAUGCGUAGAUAUCGUAAGGAAGACCAGUGGCGAAGGCGAAUCUCUGGACAGUUACUGACACUGAGGCACGAAGGCCAGGGGAGCAAACGGG